GAUGAACGCUGGCGGCGUGCUUAAUACAUGCAAGUCGAGCGAACAGACGAGGUGCUUGCUCCUCUGACGUUAGCGGCGGACGGGUGAGUAACGUGUGGAUAACCUCCCUCUAAGACUGGGAUAACUUCGGGAAACCGGUGCUAAUAACGGCUAAUCUAUUGUACGGCAUGGUUAAAUAGUGUUCGAUGUUUUUGCUGUCCCUUAUAGAUGGGUCUGCGCCGCAUUUGAUAGUUGGUAAGGUCACGGCUUACCAAGGCGACGAUGCGUAGCCGACCUGAGAGCGUGAUCGGCCACACAGGAGCUGGGACGCGGUCCAGACUCCGACAGGAGGCAGAAGUAGGGAAUCGUGCGCGAAGGGCGGAAGCUUGACGGAGCAACGCCGCGUGAGUGAUGAGGGGCCUCGGAUCGGAAAACUCUGUUAGUGGGGAAGAACAAAUGUGUAAGGAACUAUGCACGUCUUGACGGUACCUGAUCAGAAAGCCACGGCUAACUACGUG
rnacentral:rRNA from 1 species